AGCAGCCGCGGUAAUCCCAGCUCCAAUAGCGUAUAUUAAAGUUGUUGCAGUUAAAAAGCUCGUAGUUGAAUUUUGGGUUUGGCCGAUUGGUCCGUUCUUGUAACGAGUACUGGUCGGUUGGGCCUCACCGCCUGGUGAUGCGUAAUGUUCUUAAUUGAGUGUUGCGAGCAGCCAGGACCUUUACCUUGAAAAAAUUAGAGUGUUUAAAGCAGGCUUAUGCCGGAAUACAUUAGCAUGGAAUAAUAGAAUAGGACGAUGAUUCUAUUUUGUUGGUUUCUAGGACCAUCGUAAUGAUUAAUAGGGAUAGUUGGGGGCAUUAGUAUUCAAUUGUCAGAGGUGAAAUUCUUGGAUUUAUUGAAGACUAACUACUGCGAAAGCAAUUUGCCAAGGAUGUUUUCAUUAAUCAAGAACGAAAGUUAGGGGAUCGAAGACGAUCAGAUACCGUCGUAGUCUUAACCAUAAACUAUGCCGACUAGGGAUCGGGCGAUGUUGUUUCAAUGACUCGCUCGGCACCUUACGG
rnacentral:rRNA from 1 species